rnacentral:misc_RNA from 1 species
GAUGAAGAACGUAGCGAAAUGCGAUAAGUAAUGUGAAUUGCAGAAUUCAGUGAAUCAUCGAAUCUUUGAACGCACAUUGCGCCCCCUGGUAUUCCGGGGGGCAUGCCUGUUCGAGCGUCAUUUCACCACUCAAGCCUCGCUUGGUAUUGGGCAACGCGGUCCGCCGCGUGCCUCAAAUCGACCGGCUGGGUCUUCUGUCCCCCAAGCGUUGUGGAAACUAUUCGCUAAAGGGUGUUCGGGAGGCUACGCCGUAAAACAACCCCAUUUCUAAGGUUGACCUCGGAUCAGGUAGGGAUACCCGCUGAACUUAAGCAUAUCAAUAAGCGGAGGA